rfam:Stegodyphus mimosarum contig3225, whole genome shotgun sequence.
GUCUUCGUAGUGUAAUGGUCAGCACGCUCGACGGGUAUUCGAGAGGUCCGUGGUUCGAGUCCCUGCGAGAGCA